rnacentral:rRNA from 1 species
GACGUAGGGCGCGAGCGUUGUCCGGAUUUAUUGGGCGUAAAGAGCUCGUAGGCGGCUUGUCGCGUCGAAUGUGAAAUCUCAGGGCUCAACUCUGACAUUGCAUUCGAUACGGGCAGGCUAGAGUUCGGUAGGGGAGACUGGAAUUCCUGGUGUAGCGGUGAAAUGCGCAGAUAUCGGGAGGAACACCAGUGGCGAAGGCGGCGACCUGGGCCAAUACUGACACUGAGGUGCGAAAGCGUGGGGAGCAAACAGG